rnacentral:rRNA from 1 species
UUUUAUUUGAGAGUUUGAUCCUGGCUCAGGAUGAACGCUGGCGGCGUGCCUAACACAUGCAAGUUGAGCGAUUUACUUCGGUAAAGAGCGGCGGACGGGUGAGUAACGCGUGGGUAACCUACCCUGUACACACGGAUAACAUACCGAAAGGUAUGCUAAUACGGGAUAAUAUAUUUGAGAGGCAUCUCUUAAAUAUCAAAGGUGAGCCAGUACAGGAUGGACCCGCGUCUGAUUAGCUAGUUGGUAAGGUAACGGCUUACCAAGGCGACGAUCAGUAGCCGACCUGAGAGGGUGAUCGGCCACAUUGGAACUGAGACACGGUCCAAACUCCUACGGGAGGCAGCAGUGGGGAAUAUUGCACAAUGGGCGAAAGCCUGAUGCAGCAAC